GUGAGCUUAUCUCAGUUGGUAAAGACAAUGCAUAAUAUAUGCAAGAUCCGGGUUCGAACCCUGGACAUCACA
rnacentral:tRNA from 1 species